GAGCUUUCCACAUCUUCUUUUCAUCCACUCACUCACUCGCUCACACUUCCUCAUUUUCUUCGAUUCUAAAGUUAAACCAUGUUGAAGCAAUCACCAAGCAGAAAUCAAAGGACUAAAAGCUUCAAGUCGCAAAGCUUGGAAGAAAAGUUUUGAAUCCGUACGAACUGAUCGAUGAUACAGAAGAAAGCAAACCCCAAAGAGUUGAAGAGGAAGAACAUGAGGAAGUAGAAGACCUCAUUGACGAAGAAGAUAAAGAGAAGGAGG